rnacentral:rRNA from 1 species
CCUACGGGAGGCAGCAGGGGGGAAUAUUGCACAAUGGGGGAAACCCUGAUGCAGCAACGCCGCGUGAGUGAAGAAGUAUUUCGGUAUGUAAAGCUCUAUCAGCAGGGAAGAAGAUGACGGUACCUGAUUAAGAAGCCCCGGCUAACUACGUGCCAGCAGCCGCGGUAAUACGUAGGGGGCAAGCGUUAUACGGAUGUACUGGGUUUAAAGGGUGCGUAGGCUGUGAGGUAAGUCAGCGGUGAAAUGCCCCCGGUCAACGGGGUGAAGUGCCAUUGAUACUGCCUUGCUGGAAUGCGGAUGCCGUGGGAGGAAUGUGUGGUGUAGCGGUGAAAUGCAUAGAUAUCACACAGAACACCGAUUGCGAAGGCAUCUCACGAAUCCGCGAUUGACGCUGAUGCACGAAAGCGUGGGUAUCAAACAGGAUUAGAUACCCCAGUAGUC